AUUGAACGCUGGCGGCAGGCCUAACACAUGCAGGUCGAGCGGAUGAAGGGAGCUUGCUCCUGGAUUCAGCGGCGGACGGGUGAGUAAUGCCUAGGAAUCUGCCUGGUAGUGGGGGAUAACGUCCGGAAACGGGCGCUAAUACCGCAUACGUCCUGAGGGAGAAAGUGGGGGAUCUUCGGACCGCACGCUAUCAGAUGAGCCAAGGUCGGAUUAGCUAGUUGGUGGGGUAAAGGCCUACCAAGGCGACGAUCCGUAACUGGUCUGAGAGGAUGACUAGUCACACUGGGACUGAGACACCGUCCAGACUCCUACGGGAAGCAGCAGUGGGGAAUAUUGGACGAUGGGCGAAAGCCUGAUCCAGCCAUGCCGCGUGUGUUAAGAAGGUCUUCGGAUUGUAAAGCACUUUAAGUUGGGAGGAAGGGCAUUAAGUUAAUACCUUGCUGUUUUGACGGUACCAACAGAAUAAGCACCGGCUAACUUCGUG
rnacentral:rRNA from 1 species